UACAGAGGUCUCAAGCGUUGUUCGGAUUCAUUGGGCGUAAAGGGUGUGUAGGUGGCGCCGUAAGUCGGGGUGUGAAAUUUCGGAGCUUAACUCCGAAACUGCAUUCGAUACUGCGGUGCUUGAGGACUGGAGAGGAGACUGGAAUUCAUGGUGUAGCAGUGAAAUGCGUAGAGAUCAUGAGGAAGACCAGUGGCGAAAGGCGGGGUCUCUGGGACAGUUCCUGACACUGAGACACGAAGGCCCAGGGGGAGCAAAACGGGG
rnacentral:rRNA from 1 species